GUCAGGUUUAUCAAAGAUUGUAUAGUUGUAGAUAUGUUGUGUUGCCUCUGAUGCCUCUGUUUUGUUCCAUUGGUCUAUAUCUCUGUUUUGGUACCAGUACCAUGCUGUUUUGAUUACUGUAGCCUUGUAGUAUAGUUUGAAAUCCGGUAGUGUGAUGCCCCCCGCUGUGUUCUUUUUGCUUAGAAUUGACUUGGCUAUGCGGGCUCUCUUUUGGUUCCAUAUGAACAAACAAGCCCA
rnacentral:lncRNA from 13 species